rnacentral:rRNA from 1 species
GAUGAACGCUGGCGGCGUGCCUAACACAUGCAAGUCGAGCGAACAGACGAGGCGCUUGUUCCUCUCACGUUAGCGGCGGACGGGUGAGUAACACGUGGAUAACCUACCUAUCUGACUGGUAUAUCCUCGGGAAUCCGGCGCUUACACCGGAUAAUAUAUUGCACCAUAUUGGGCAUUAGUGAAAGACGGUGUUGCUGUAUCUUAUAGAGGGUUCUGGGCCGCAUGAGCUAGUUGGUAAGGUAACGGCUUACCAAGGCGACGAUGCGUAGCCGACCUGAGAGAGUGAUAGGCCACACUGGAACUGAGACACGGUCCAGACUCCUACGGGAGGCCGCAGUAGCGAAUCUUACGCAAAGGUCGGAAGCCUGACGGAACAACGCGGCGUGAGUGAUGAAGGUCCUCGGAUCGUAAAACUCUGUUAUUAGGGAAAAACAGAUGUGUAAUGAAAUAUACACUGCUUGACGGUAACGUAUCAGAAAGCAACGGCUAACUACGUG